ACCGAGCAACGACACAAAAGGCAUUCUUUCUCCUGUCUUCGGUGCACAUCCGUUCUUAUUUUCUCCUCUCUUCUUCUCACAAUAUUUUGCAUCUUCAUUCACCAUCAUGGAUCCCUUGACCGGUCCAUCACCACCAUCUGCAUAGAGGCGUCAAUCGCAGUAAUUUUCUACGGUUAAUACGGGUGAAGAUGACAGUCCUGCUCUCAACUCUACAGCAAAGACGCAUCUUAAGCUAGAUGAUUUAUCAUGUGCCGAUGAAAACAUGUCAGCCAUGUUUAAUGUGCUGAAGAAGAAAAAAUCUGCAAGGCUUGAAAACCUAGUGUUGUAUAGAACAUAUGUACUUUGUCAUCCCUUGUUUAUGCUGGAAUGGUAGAAAUAACUUUGAAUGAUGGGAGCCAUCAUAUUGUAUGUAAGUGUCUCAUUAGUUGUUCUUUAUUUCUGUUGCUGCAAAUCUGUGUAGUCCUCAUCCCUAAGAAAUAUCUCCUAUCGGUAUACGCUGCGGCCCACUUUUCCCUUAGUGCAUACAUCAUGGCUAACCAUAA